rnacentral:rRNA from 1 species
AAGUAUAUGCAUAUUUUAUAUGUAGAAACUGCGAACGGCUCAUUAAAACAGUUAUAAUCUACUUGACAUUUUUUCUAUAAGGAUAACUACGGAAAAGCUGUAGCUAAUACUUGCUUUAGCACUCUUGAUUAAGUUCUUGAGUGUGUACUUGUUAAGCCUUUUAAGAAAAAAGUUAUUAACUUAAGGAAUUAUAACAAAGAAGCAACACGUAAAUGGAUUUUCCAUUUUUUAGUGUGUAUCAAUCGAGUUUCUGACCUAUCAGCUUUUGAUGUUAGGGUAUUGGCCUAACAUGGCUAUGACGGGUAACGGGGAAUUAGAGUUCGAUUCCGGAGAGGGAGCCUGAGAAAUAGCUACCACAUCUAAGGAAGGCAGCAGGCGCGUAAAUUACCCAAUUCUAAAGAAGAGAGGUAGUGACAAGAAAUAACAAUACAAGGCCAAUCUGGCUUUGUAAUUGGAAUGAUGGGAAUUUAAAACCUUCCCAAAACUCAAUUGGAGGGCAAGUCUGGUGCCAGCAGCCGCGGUAAUUCCAGCUCCAAUAGCGUAUAUUAAAAUUGUUGCAGUUAAAACGCUCGUAGUUGAAUUUCAAAGAAUCGAUAUUUUAAGUAGCACUUUGUAGAUUAAUCAACAUAACUGAUACUACGUAUCGACUUUGUGCGCAUUUUUCUACUUAUGUGUUCUUUUAAUUAAAAUGAUUCUUUUUAAGAUCUUUCUUUUUUGCUUCGGCAUUUUAGGAGAUCUUGUUACUUUGAGUAAAUUAGGGUGUUCAAAGCAAACAGAUUAUAGCAUCUUUAUGCGUUUGAAUACUACAGCAUGGAAUAACAAAAUUGAACAAGUCAGAAUUUUGUUCUUUUUUCUUAUUUUGGCUUAGUUACGAUUAAUAGGAGUAGCUUGGGGGCAUUUGUAUUCAGAUGUCAGAGGUGAAAUUCUUAGAUUUUCUGGAGACAAACAACUGCGAAGGCAUUUGUCUAAAAUACUUCCAUUAAUCAAGAACGAAAGUUAAGGGAGUGAAGACGAUCAGAUACCGUCGUAAUCUUAACCAUAAACUAUACCGACUAGGUUUUGGAUGAAAGUAAAACAAAUAAGGAUAGUCUCUUCGGGGAUAGUCCUUAGAUUUCUUCCUUCAGUACCCUAUGAGAAAUCAAAGUCUUUGGGUUCUGGGGCGAGUAUUCGCGCAAGCGAGAAAGUUAAAAGAAUUGACGGAAGGGCACCACCAGGCGUGGAGCUUGCGGCUUAAUUUGACUCAACACGGGAAAACUCACUAGUUUAAGACAAGAGUAGGAUUGACAGAUUGAGAGCUCUUUCUUGAUUUCUUGGAUGGUGAUGCAUGGCCGUUUUUAGUUCGUGAAUAUGAUUUGUCUGGUUAAUUCCGAUAACGAACGAGAUCUUAACCUGCUAAUUAGCGGCAAAUACGAUAUAUUCUUACGUGGAAUUGCAUACUUAUGGUUUGUCUCUAUUGAGCUGCAUAAUAAUGAAGGAUCGUGAUUGCUUUUCGUGUCAAUCUUUCUUAAUCGAAUCGUUGAUGUGUUUUGUAUAUCUCGUUCUUUCAUUACCUUGCAAUCACUCAUUUGCCUUAUCAUACUGUUUCUCUUUUGCGUAAGAAUGUAUUUGCUUGAUUGUAAAGCUUCUUAGAGGAACGAUGUGUGUCUAACACAAG